UAGCCAGACUCCUACGGGAGGCAGCAGUGAGGAAUAUUGGUCAAUGGCCGGAAGGCUGAACCAGCCAAGUCGCGUGAGGGAAUAAGGCCCUAUGGGUCGUAAACCUCUUUUGUCAGGGAGCAAAGGCGUCCACGAGUGGACGAAAGGAGAGUACCUGAAGAAAAAGCAUCGGCUAACUCCGUGCCAGCAGCCGCGGUAAUACGGAGGAUGCGAGCGUUAUCCGGAUUUAUUGGGUUUAAAGGGUGCGUAGGCGGGCUUUUAAGUCAGCGGUAAAAAUUCGGGGCUCAACCCCGGCCGGCCGUUGAAACUGGGGGCCUUGAGUGGGCGAGAAGAAGGCGGAAUGCGUGGUGUAGCGGUGAAAUGCAUAGAUAUCACGCAGAACCCCGAUUGCGAAGGCAGCAUACCGGCGCGCAACUGACGCUCAUGCACGAAAGCGUGGGUAUCGAACAGGAUUAGAUACCCUAGUAA
rnacentral:rRNA from 1 species